GCCAGGCCGUCAGCCCCGUUUUUCCCCCUGCCCUAUUAAACCAACAGCUGCAGGAGCGGCAGCAUGUGUCCUGUUUGCAGCGCUGAAAUGAUACCAGGACACUUGGGCACGGAUGGAGGAGAGCGGAUGGUGCCCCGGUGCGCUGAAGGGCUGAACAAGGAUCACUGCUCCUGUAAAGCUGUAUGCAGGCAGCAUCAAGAGAGAAUAGGAUUUGUUGCACCAACACUGAACCAAGACUAAGCUUCAGCCCAUUAUAUGGAACUGCUGAAAGAUGCUUCACAGUUGUGUGCGUGAUCUGGUAGGAUGGUGAGACUACCACAUCUCCUUGGAUAAGUAUCAGAACUUCAACUUGAACAAAUCUGGAUUAAGUUCUACUCAUUUUAGAGGAGCCCUC